rnacentral:lncRNA from 1 species
CGGGCACUAAUCAUGUAUGAGGCGUUAUAAGGGUGCUCGACGGGAUGUGUUCCGGAGCAUUUGGUCCCAAAUGGGAACUUGACUGGGUUACGCCCUCAGUUCAAGUAAGCAGGAGUAAUGGAUCUGUCGGUGGCUAAAAGGUCCGAGAUCACAGCGAGUAACGGAAAGGGAGUGUGACAAUUGCGCGCAAUAUAAUAAAAUGUUUUAACAUGCUUAGAAGUUCUUUCAAUUUAAAACCUUCUAAGUCAUGUCAUGUAUAAUUGGAUAAACUGCUCUUAUGAUUAUGAAAUGUUUAUAAAAAUGCUAGCCCACUAAGUACAUUAGUACUUAGCCCAAAAUUACUUUCAAAUGUUUUCAGGUUGAUUGGUCGGUGCUGACGGGGCAGAGCUGAGGCUAGAGUUCAACUCCGUAUUUUGUCUUCCGCUGUUACACUAGCUCUUAUUUGUCUUUUGUUUCUCCAACUUAAGACUUUUAUGUUAAAUUCUGAAUUAUGUUUCUUAUCGAGUUUAAAUUCUCAACUUCUAGCUCUAUGUUAUUAACAUUGGUUAUCGGAAGCAUGAAACCGAACUUGUGAUCCUAAGGCUUAGAAUGUUGUUGAUUGAUUAAUAUCACUUGAUUUUUGUCUUUCUUCACUCAAAGGCUGUUCCCCGACUUUUAUCCUAUUAUUUGAAUUUCACAAGGUCAUUCCCUUGUUCAUUUCUAUGAUUUUAAU